rnacentral:lncRNA from 1 species
UUAUAAUGAUAAUUGGGUUUAUGUUGUUAGGAAGGUUCAUUGGACUUUUAUUUUACAUAUUUGCAUCUCUAAUAUAUCUUAUGAAAUUUAAUUAAGUUAUUAAGAUAUUUAAUCUAGUUUAAUAUAAAAUACAAAAAAAAUAAAAUAUAUUAAAAAUACUAAAAAUUAUAUCUUACUUUAUUUAACACUAAAAAUAUUUCUUUUUCAUGUAAAU